rnacentral:lncRNA from 10 species
GGGGAGGGGCGGAGCCGGGGUGGGGCGGGGACCCGGAAGCUUGCGACUCUUGUUUGCGUCGCGUCUGGGCGCACAGGACUGUACUUUUGGUAGCGGUGCGGGGCCGCCCGCGGACUUUAGCCCUGCAUAGAGAUGGGUAGACCCUAAUUUGGAACAGCCAUUGACUGGGCACAGGCCAGCACUUUGGGAGGCCGAGAGGCCGAGGCAGGAGGAUCGCUUGAGGCCAGGAGUGCCAGACUGCGAGACUAGCCUGGGUAACAUAGUGAGACCCUCUCUUCAAAAAAAAAAAAAAAAAAAAAAAAAAAAAGCCUGUCACGGUGGCCUGCGCCUGUACCCCAGCUACUCGAGAGGAUCGCCUGAGCCCAGUGAAGCUGCAGCGAGCUGUGAGGAUGCCACCGCACUCCGGCCUGGGCUAAAAAGCUAGAUCGUGUCUCUGAUAAAAGAAUAAAAGCUGUUUAUUGCAAUCC